AGCCUCGUGGCCUAGAGAGUAUCACACUAGGCUUUCACGCUGGAGGUCCCGGGUUCGAUUCCCGGCGGGGUCG
rfam:Asian citrus Psyllid, Diaphorina citri - Florida Strain, whole genome shotgun sequence.